CAGCCGCGGGAAUACGUAGGUCCCGAGCGUUGUCCGGAUUUAUUGGGCGUAAAGCGAGCGCAGGCGGUUAGAUAAGUCUGAAGUUAAAGGCUGUGGCUUAACCAUAGUAUGCUUUGGAAACUGUUUAACUUGAGUGCAGAAGGGGAGAGUGGAAUUCCAUGUGUAGCGGUGAAAUGCGUAGAUAUAUGGAGGAACACCGGUGGCGAAAACGGCUCUCUGGUCUGUAACUGACGCUGAGGCUCGAAAGCGUGGGGAGCAAACAGGAUUAGAUACCCGUGUAGUCCCUGUCUCUUAUACACAU
rnacentral:rRNA from 1 species